UUCGUAUGCGAGUGUUCGGGUGCCAAACCCCUACGCGUAAUGAAAGUGAACGCAGGUGAGAGCCCCUCCAGGGCGCAUCAUCGACCGAUCCUGAUGUUCUCGGAUGGAUUUGAGUAAGAGCAUACGGGGCCGGACCCGAAAGAAGGUGAACUAUGCCUGUAUAGGGUGAAGCCAGAGGAAACUCUGGUGGAGGCUCGCAGCGGUUCUGACGUGCAAAUCGAUCGUCAAAUAUGGGCAUGGGGGCG
rnacentral:rRNA from 1 species